UACGUAGGGUGCAAGCGUUAAUCGGAAUUACUGGGCGUAAAGCGUGCGCAGGCGGUUCCGCAAGUCAGAUGUGAAAUCCCCGGGCUUAACCUGGGAACUGCAUUUGAAACUACGGAGCUAGAGUGUGUCAGAGGGGGGUGGAAUUCCACGUGUAGCAGUGAAAUGCGUAGAGAUGUGGAGGAACACCAAUGGCGAAGGCAGCCCCCUGGGAUAACACUGACGCUCAUGCACGAAAGCGUGGGGAGCAAACAGG
rnacentral:rRNA from 1 species